AGGAAUGAUGCCACUGGUGAAGUGUGGCAGUUUGGGCAAGAAGUGAGAACUUGUGGAAAAGGAGUGUCUCGGUGGAGCAUUCCUGGGAGAGAUGUGAGACUGAGGUUCCUAAACACAUGGAAAUUUGGAAAUUGAACCAGGGCUACCCAUGUUUUGGUAGAAACGAGGUAGAGUUAGAAUUUGGCCCACACACUAAAGUGGAAUAACCCUCCAUCUGCAAAAGAUCGUGGAGGCUUUCUUCACACCCUGCCAAAAGGUCAGGAUCGCUGUAGUACGAUCCCUUGGUAAGGUGACACCUGCAGGUAUACAGCACUGCUCCCGUCUUCCUGUGAUAUCCAAGCAGAAGUGACUCAGAAGGGAGGAGCUCUGCCUGCACUGAGUCACCACUGCUUUCUACAUUUACCCUACAAAUUUGAAAGUCAAAUUCUGUCAAAAAUUUACCUGUAAGUUUAACCUGUAAGAUUCUAGGCCCAAAAAGGCCCCUGUAAGAUUCUAGACUUCAAAACUAUGCAGCAGGUUGGGGUUUUUUUUAUUGUUUUGUUUUGCAGAAUAAGUGGAAGUUUGAGCAUGUUACCGCUCGAGAAGCGGGAGUUUCAUCAGUGUAGCAUCUACAUACUUAUUGCUGCAACCCAGUAAGACUUACGAAGAGUCAGACUCCAGGUCCCUCAGACUACAUAUAAAGAGAGGACAAGAUCUUCAGAAUUCACUCUUUCAGCUGCUCUGUGAAUCCACAGGAAACAGUCAAGAUAUCCUGAGACUGUAUCUGAAGGCAUCCCAUGGCAACACCUGAUCUGCAAAUGUCCCUCUUGAAGCUGUGCUGCUGGACAGGAGAAAGGUCUCUUCCUGUGACGUUUAUUUUGGAAUAUUCAUCAGCUAAGGAGGCCUGGUAUCUACUUUCCUUACUUACCAUGCCCAGGUUUUAUUGCUGACAUCUUGCAUACACUGUGAAAAUAAGGGUGCUGUCACGUGUUGACACCUUCUGCCAUCACACCUUGAAUCAGGAGCAGCUUCAGGCACAGAUAAAAGAGGCAAUUUCCUGUCUCCAGUGGUCCAUCCUCCUCAGUGUCUGCCUGUGGUACCUGUGCUGGAGGAGAUGACAACGAGCUGUUUGACCACUCUUUGCUGUCUGGGCAUCAAUUCUUGUUACCAGUGACUGAAGGGGAGCAAUGUGAACAAAGCAAGAACUACUGUUUGUGUGGGCUGGGCAGGGCUCUCCCUUGCAGGGAAAGUCACUGAUGCCUCUCUCUCGAGGUGCUUCUGGGGCUGCUGAGGGAUGUAGCAUGAUGCUACAUUGGGUCUUAAAAUGUAAAAUAAAUUGGU